UUUUUUUUUUUUUUCUUUUUUUUUUUUUUUU
rnacentral:ribozyme from 15 species